UUAAAAUUUGCCACAGACAUUCACGUGAUCAACAACAGACACACAUCAUGCCCCUAUCAUGGUCUAAACCAAUCAGAGACAGUCUCUAGAAGUUGCUAAAUGACGGCAUCGCCUAAUUUGCAUAAUUGGUCACGCUGAUGUAAUUGUAACCUACGUUGUUGGAGAGAGAAGUAACAUCGUGGAAGAGACAUAAAUUUUCUAGAGAGGCCCCUUUGAGAUGGCACCAUCCUGGGAGAAACGGAACCUGGGCCGCCGUCUCCAGCCCGACUCGUUGGACCAGAACCAGGCGGUGGUUAUAGCCAAGCUAGCAGACUGGAAUCCAGCUACCACAUCAGCAGUGACAAACCCAGUAAACAAGAAUGACAGCCACAGAACGACAGGUCUGCACUCCAACGAGAGACCCCAACACACAGAGGAAACUCCAGGACUGGAAUCUUCAUGUGAAGAAAAUAUCGGUGAUCAUCGGUGACUCCAAUGUGCACAGACUCCUCCGUCCUAUAAAGCAGAGGGGUACAGAUCGACAGAUUUCCAUGAGCGAAAUGUUGCCACCCGGUGAGGCCCAGCUGGAGAAAGCACACUGUGGAAAAUCUGGUUUUAUAACUUUGGACUGAAUACCAGUGAUGGAGCUGAAAAUGGGACUAAAGGCAGAGCAGUAAGCAAUCUUUCUAAGGCCCUUCUUUGUGAAGAACAAGCCACAUCGUUGCAUCUGAACAACUUUAUUACAGGUUUAGAUGAACAGAUUCCUGUACUUCCUACUUUGAUAUUCAGCACAGAGAAGGACAACAUUCACUCGACCAGUAGAGCUGCAAUGUGUAUGUUAGAACAGUGGAACCAGUGUGUAAAUGAGGCAUCCCCCAUAAGCCUUGAAAAGUGGGAGGAGAGUAGUGGUGUGAUUCACCUUUCUUAAGUUCCAAUGCUCAGCGGGUCCUUUGGACAGAAAUAAGUUCUUCUUCUUUCAAUUAUUGUUUAUUCUGUUCAUUGUAGAAUCAGCUAGGCUCCAGUGGUCAGGAGAAGCUUCUGCUAUAUGAAGCUGUUACAGUGCUUUUUGUUACAUUGAACGAGAGUAGUUUUUCUUGUUGCUUGUUUGAUCUACUGCCGUUUAAAAGAUUAUAAUUACUGAAGUGAAUGUGUUUUGAGACAGUUUACAGUGCCACUGAAGCUCCACUCAACCAAGUGUGCCUCAACAGUCUGAAAUGAAAAGAUUUUUCUUCCUUUUUUUUAUUUCUCUCCCUCUCAUGCUUCUGUUUGGAUUCCCAUUGGACAAAGCACUUCGGUUUGUGUUAGCAGGCUGAAAACAAUAAUUUUGGAUGUUUCUUUCGGCUCUUGAGGUGCCCUCAUUGAGUGCGGUUUGCCCAGUGUCCUCGAGGGUAUGUGAGGAGCCUUCCAUAGUUGGGUUGUUGUGUUUUUACCCCAGCAGCUAUUCAUCUCCAUCUCAACAGUUCAUGACCAACAUGCCGUGGCUGCCCCCUGUACCUGUCUGAGUACCUUUACCCAGGCAAGUUCAGGACCGUGCACGUCCUCCUGCCUUCAAAAGAGGGGGGAGGAGGAGGUGAAUAGUUCAGCCUUCCUUCUCCCCCCUCACCCUCACCCUUUACCCGUGCCCCUCCCUUUAGGCAGGGAGGGGUCUGAACUUCAUUUCCUUGUUCAUAUUCACGUCCUCCUGCCCUCUAUGAGGGGGCAGAAGGACGUGAAUAUUUCAGCCUCCCUUCUCCCCACUCACCCCUCCUCCUCCUCACCUCCUCUCUUUUACCUCGGCAGCCCAUGACCGGCAUGCCGUGGCUGCCCCCUGUACCUGUUGAGUACCUGUACCCUCAUCCACUGAAGCCUGGACCUCCAGCUGAUUGCAGCCACUUUAGUGCAAGGAGAUGAUUGCGUUUUGUGUGACUGUCUUGCAGUUCACCCUUCCCUUUCUACCCUAACCCAUUUUCCACUCCAGCCUCUACCCCACUCGGUUCAGACCCCUCCUCAGGCAAGGAGGGGUUUCAAUCCCAUUUCCCGCACCCCCAACCUUAACCCACCAUCAAGUCCUGCCCCCUUCUCUCCUCAUACCGCUGCCCACAGUUCAGACCCCUCCUCAGGCCCCUUACUGCUUGAACGGCUCUAACCAAAUUAGGAACAUAGGUUUUUUUUUUUUUUUUCAAAAGCAAAUGUUUUAAAAAAGAAAAGAACAGAAAAACAUAACUGAACACAACAGUAUGUCAGUGUACAGUGACUGAUCAGGCAGUACAGUUUUAGGAACCUUUUUAACUGAGGCAGGAUGGCAUUUUGGUUUUUAAUCAGAAUCUACCCUUCAGCCAGAAUUCAUUUAAAGAGCUGUGGGAACAGCUACCUGUGACUGAAUCUCUGUCAGUUUUGACACUAUCUCAACUGUGAACAGCAGUACAACGGGUCAUGAUGAAACCUGGAGGCCAGAUGACACCAUGGAGAUGUUUCAGAUCAUCAAUGAGCAGCAAUUAGCUGAAAACUUUGAUGAAAAUCUCUGAGCUUCCAAAUGACAUUUUAAAAAAAGACGGCAUUACACCUCCAGCCUCCACUGUUCCAGUUAUGACAGAUUACCCUGGCAAAUGUGGGUUUCAGCUGAGAUUCCAAAAGUCUACCCCACUGUUCAGACCCCUCCUCAGGCAGGGAGGGGUUUCAAUCCCAUUUCCCCCACCCCCAACCAAAUCCUAACCUUAACCCACCAUCCAGUCCUGCCCCCCUUCUCUCCUCAUACCGGUGCCCACAGUUCAGACCCCACCUCAGGCCCCUCCCUGCCUUUUCCAGCCUUAUAAAGAAAGGGAAGGCUGAAGUGGCAGACCGUCGUGCAAAAAACGAGCAUCUCCUCCAUGCACUGCUUACAGUCAAAUGACAAAAUAUGUGAACUCUUUUUAAACAGGAAAAAGGAAGAAAUUGUACACCAGAGGGUGCUGUAUUUAUUAUGUAGCUGUUUUUUGUUUUUUUUGUUUGUUUGUUUGUUGUCUCUUCUGUUUUUUCUCUCCAUACAGGUGAGCCAGGUGUUUUGUUUUUCUUUCUUUCUUCUCCCCUUUCUCGCCAUCUCUUCUCCCCUCAAUUUUUCCUUUCUCUCGCUCUCUUUCUUUCAUUCUUUCUCCCUGUCCUAUCUCCCAGUCAUGUCUGUCCCGACUGUAACAACUGAAAAUAAAAUAAAAUACACAAUUAUAAUAAAGGUCAAUCAAAUGGACCAAUAUGGCAAGGCCAUGAUGAUCCAGUUGGUAAAGUAAAUCCGCUUGGCAUCUCUCUUGGCCUUAAGACAACAAUUCUGAUGGCUAAAGAUCCAAGCGGGACAGGGGGGGAAAAAAAGAAAUUGUACACCAGAGGGGGGCAAGAAGGAGAAAAACCGUUGUUCCUUCCCUCCCCCAGAAGGCAGUAGAAUAUCAUGUUUUAAAUGCCACUUUUUUGGGGGGGUAAAAUUUCUUGACAAAUAUGUUUCUCUUUUUUCUUUUGUUAUUUCGUCCCUCUUUGGUACAGCUACAAAACAUGUGCGAGGUGUUGCCCCAUGGGAAAUUGUGCUAUAGCUAGAAACCUGUGUUUUCAUAUAUACAUGCAUAUAUAACAAGCUUUUUAGUUUCUCUGUUGCUUUGUUGAAGUUCUUUGUGUUUCAAUAAACUCCCUGUAUUUAAACAGUACUGCACUGACUUAUAUUUUUCAAACUGAUUUUGCCUGAACGCACCCUGAUUUUGACCAGCAGAAAAUAGCAGGAUCUGACAAUUCAAUCAAUGGCUUUAUACAUUUUUAUUUUUAUUUGAAUUUAUUCUUUUCGUUUCAUUUUGUCUUUUGAAUCAAAUUGAGGAAAAAAUGUAACUGUUUAUGAACUAUUUGUACAAUAUAAAAUAUAUGAAAAAUUUAUGACUCACUGAGAGACAUGUUUAUCUCUCUGUUCCUUGUCAUCUGUGCAGGCUGAGAAUAUGACUACAAAAAGUCCCAAAUGUCAAAAAGGUAUUCUCAAGUGGAAGCUCAGUAAUGGUCCAAAAAUUAGGCACAUGCUUUCUUCCAUGUGUGACUGAGCAUGCAGUUCAGCAAUUUCACCACUAGAUGGAGUCAUUGCCAAAGGAAUGUCAACUUUGAAUUGGAGCAUCACUGGACUGACAGUGAAAUUACACAUCACAUUACCCCUGACUUCAUCCAGAGAUGUAACAGGAUCUCCUCCAGAGUGGGACGGUCCUCAGGCUGGAGGACCGCAAUCACAAUGUAUAUAUGUAUAUAUAGUGAUUGUUGAAUUUCUCUAAUUUCAGACCUGUUUCAAAUCAUAAGCAGACACAACCAAAAACCGCUUCAUGUCGGAAAAUAUACUAAAUUGAUAUGCAGAGUUUUUCUCUCUCACUCUUUGUAUUUACAAUGCAAACAAGAUGGAGAGAAACGUUGUGUAUUGCCUACUUUGCAUAAAGCCCCAACAGUCCAUUCGCACACACCUGAGCAGAGUUUGCCUGAAAGACUGCACACCACAGAAAUGUGAGGCCAGAUGGUGGAAUUGAACUCAGGACCUUCUUGCUGGGGGGCAACAGUGCUAACCACUGUGCUGCACAGUGGAGGACAGCUGCAUCGAUAUGUUGCUCAUCAAUGACCACCAAUUAGCAGAGAUCUGGCAAUGGACAUUUUUCCAAAAGACAGCAUUAUGCCCUAACCUUCCACUGUCAGGAUCAAAGGAAUGGCUUUGAUAAUACUGCUUAAACUAAGACUGUACAAAUUUAAGAAACACAAUGGCAACAUUCAACAAUUAGACCUAACAUUUCCCCCCUUUUUGUCAUUGUAUAUACUUAAAUUUCAACUUAUGCACCCUUUGUUUGGACAGUGACAGUGUAGAUUUCAUUCAUACACAACUCCUCUUCAUUCACCUUCUAUCGAUGCAAAAGUUCACAGUUAAUACAUGUAAGCAGUUAACCUGCUUCUCAUUGAUCUCAUACACAGUAAACUACAUCCUAUACGUAAGCAAAUCAGUGUCAACAGUCCAAAAACAGGAAUUAAUAUUUUCAAAAGAAGAUGCCACCAAGGACCAGACAUUCACCAAGUUAUCCAGCCUUGUGGUGCAUCUACUCCUGUCGUGCGAUUCAUUAUGUAUUCCUGCAAGUAAACAACUGAAUGUAACAGUCAAACAAGAAGAAUCAACAUUCUCAAAAAUCAAAUGUCACUACAAUCCAACUGUAUACAGACAUAGACAUUCAAACACAUCAGUUGACUUUAUCGUUUGUCCAUGUGGCUCUCAGCUAACUUCAAAGCUGUAGCCUGGUCAACACCCUUCUUUAUGACUCCUAUCAACCCCCCGAAUCUUCUCACUAUAGGCAUCCUAUGGGGGUUAGAGUCAACUGGUAAAUUAUCCGCAUUUACAACUCUUGUCCUGUCCUGUUGUCACCACAGGAAAAGCUUUGUAAAGGAAAUUGGAUCAAGCUGUUUUGAUCUUCUUGGCUCACAACCUCAACCAGCUUAGAGAAGUGUUCAUGAUGCAAAUGUAGACAAAAGCUUCUCUGUUUGCAUCCUUCUUGCAGAGGACACAAAGAAUAGGUGACGUUGCUCAGAUUUCAUGGUAAAUCUCCAACUUGGACUAAUCCAUUGCCCUUCAUACACAUAGGCAACUGGCCUAUUUCCCGUUCAUUUAGCUGUUCAAUGUCCUGCAGCAAGUCAGACACUUGGAGUCAGACUAUCAGGUCUAUCGCACCAGAGCAGUUCACCUUCCCAGCUACUGGUGAAUCAACCGUCCAGUCAGGUUCAGAAGUUGAAAAGUUGGCAGUGUUCCAAGAACGUUUACUCCUGGAUGUGUCGCUACGGCAACCAACAAACUGUCUCACUCUCAGUGAUGCUAUAUGGCCACAGUCCAGAAGAAUGUGUAGACAGUGGCAUCACAAGCAUAACCAUUGGUCUUGUUCUUUAUGUGAGCGGUUGUGUUCACAAACUGCCACCAGUAGUUGUUGAAAACCCCAUGCGGGUACUGGGUGUGGUUUGCUCUGUCCCAGUGCGCUCCUGUCAUCCCACUCAGAGUUAACAGGCACAAGGCGCACAGCACAUUCCCAGCCAUUCUGAUGAGUACCUGUGGCUCAGUUGGUUUCUUCACCGGAUUGAGACGAGGGGCCCUGGAGGCUUUCCCCCCCCUUUGUACCCGGUCUUCCUGCCACUUACCCCGAGCUGGCCUGGAUGUGUGUCACCUUCUUGCAGUGCGCUUGAUGUAUCCAAGCGUUCCUUCCAGCAACUUCACCGCUGUGGUCGUCGUCAGCAGCAUCCGAUAUGGACCUUCCCACCGUGGACUGGACCAGGACUUCCUCUCCAUGGCCUUGUCAACAUCCAAUCUCCAGACUUCAGACUCUGCUCCUGCGGAGAAACAGAAUCAUCUGGCAGAUCAUUUGUUCUCAAGACUUCUUUACUUUUAAACAUUUUAAGCAUCUAAUCUGCUAAUAUGCUCUCUCUUCUGCUCUCCUAUCAUCACUACAGAAGACUAGAACUCUAAAUACUCUAACAUAUAUAAUCUCAACGAGUCAAACCAUUCUCUGUUGGAGUAAUCCUCAUGUACAUCUUAACUAAUUCUAUACAGUUUAACCAUGUCCUGCGUGUCUCUUCCUAAGUCUUAACAUUACUAUUCCAUUAGUUCUCUCUACCAACCCUGCACUUUGUGGGUGAUAUGAACAAUGACGUUUUUAGUGUUAUCCCUAGAUGUUGUGCCAUUAAUCCAAUCACUUCAUUUACAAAAUGUGAACCAUCAUCGCUAAACAAUACUCAUAGUUAUUACAGCUGGACAGCUCUAUAGUCCAUGUGAAUAACUUGAAAUGGGUGACUGGGUCUGGGGAAUUUCCCUCUCUUAGAUCUCAAAUUACGCCGAGAAUUGUGCUUGAACAUAUCAUACAUGACCUGCAAAAAUUUAUUUAUUUAUUUUGUUAAGGGUAUUUAAUUGUAAAGUAUAAACUACUCAUUAUCUCCCUCCUGUUGCGACAUGGCAAAGCCCAUGGCGCAAAAUAGCAGCAGUCUUAUACAAAUUCUAAGGCAGUAUUGGUUUAUCACACAGAUAACAAACACCAUCCUACAGGCUCGCUCCUACUGUAAAUCACAACUGUUUCCCUGCAGUAGAUGAGUGGCCCUGCAUGUCUACCAGUGCAUCACGCAUAAUAGCCAACGUCUGCUGGCGUUGCACUGCUAAAACGUUAACACCAUGUUCUCCUAAAGUUGCCUCUUUCGCGAUCUUAUCUGCAAAAGCAUUCUCUAAUGCAACUGGAUCUUGCCGUCACAUGUGUGCUACACAUUUACAAACGGCAAUCCUACUGGGUAAAAACUCUGCCUCCAGCAGAUUUUGCAGAGUUUGGCGUGUUCUACAGGUUUCCCUGUAGAGGCUGUCACACCUCGUCUCACCCACUGCACCACAAAGAAAUGUAACGUAGCAAAUGCAUACUGGCUAUCAGUGUAUAUUGUCACAUCUUAUUUCUCUGCAGCUUUACAUGCUUCCGUUAAAGCUAGCAUCUCUGCUGCUCAAGCAAAUAUGAAACAUGCUAGUUGUCCUGCACAGAUAACUUUCUCACUAUCUACUACAGUAAAACCUGUUUUAGUCUGUCCCUCUACUGUUGUAAAACUCAAACCAUCAACAAACCAAACCUUUCCCUCACCAAGUGGCACAUCUAGUAAGUCAUCCCUUGGCUUACACUCCUUCUCUACGUGGUCUCUACACUCAUGAGGAGUGCCCUCUUCUUUCGUUGGCAAAAGGUUUGACAGAUUCAGAAUUGUGCACCUGUGAAAAGAUUUUGUUUAUUAUUCAAAUAUGCUUUGCUUGUGAUUGUGUAAACUCUGAAUGACGAUUCACCCUGAUAAAACAUGAAACCUUGCCUAUGCUUAUCAAAUGCCUGUGAAGACAAGUUCCUGUGCAAAGAACAACGGAAAAUGCCACUUAAUGUGGUGUCGCGAAAAUGAGAUAACCGGGGACGGUUACUAAAGUAGUGACAACGCCACCUGGGGGAGGGCGCUACAACCCCAGGAAAGAUUUCUCUAGCCAAUGAGAAGAUUGCACUGGCUACCAAAGCCCACAGACUCGUUAUUUAAAGGCAGAGGUGAGACAAAGAAAGUUUAUAAUUCAAAAGUUUAUUUAGAGGAACUACUAAAACAUAACUAAAAGAUUAAAAAGGCACCUAGGGUAGCAGGGGUAAGAGAGUAA
ensembl:lncRNA